rnacentral:tRNA from 1 species
AAUUGCUCUAGGGGCACGUUUUGAUGAUCGUGUAACUGGAAAAUUGGAUGAAUUUGCUUCUUUAGCCAA